rnacentral:rRNA from 1 species
GACGAACGCUGGCGGCGUGCUUAACACAUGCAAGUCGAACGGAAAGGCCCCGCUUGCGGGGUACUCGAGUGGCGAACGGGUGAGUAACACGUGGGUGAUCUGCCCUGCACUUCGGGAUAAGCCUGGGAAACUGGGUCUAAUACCGGGAUAGGACCCCUCUUUAGUGUGGGGGGUGGAAAGUUUUUUCGGUGUGGGAUGAGCCCGCGGCCUAUCAGCUUGUUGGUGGGGUAAUGGCCUACCAAGGCGUCGACGGGUAGCCGGCCUGAGAGGGUGGACGGCCACAUUGGGACUGAGAUACGGCCCAG